rnacentral:rRNA from 1 species
ACAGAGGGUGCAAGCGUUAAUCGGAAUUACUGGGCGUAAAGCGAACGUAGGCGGUUACCUAAGUCGGAUGUGAAAUCCCCGGGCUCAACCUGGGAAUUGCAUUCGAGACUGGGUGGCUAGAAUGCGGAAGAGGGAAGCGGAAUUUCCGGUGUAGCGGUGAGAUGCGUAGAUAUCGGAAGGAACAUCAGUGGCGAAAGCGGCUUCCUGGUCCAGCAUUGACGCUCAGGUUCGAAAGCGUGGGGAGCAAACAGGA